GACGGUCUGGCCUCUUGCCAUCAGAUGUGCCCAGAUGGGAUUAGCUAGUAGGUGGGGUAACGGCUCACCUAGGCGACGAUCCCUAGCUGGUCUGAGAGGAUGACCAGCCACACUGGAACUGAGACACGGUCCAGACUCCUACGGGAGGCAGCAUG
rnacentral:rRNA from 1 species